rnacentral:lncRNA from 1 species
CAGCAAUGAGAAAAGAAAACUAGACAACAUUUUAGCAUUUGAGUUAGCUUUUUAGUAUAAAUGAGAUUGAAUGAAAAGCUAGGUACACAUAGAAUAUCCUGAAGUAUUAAAGCAUCCGUGACCUUUGUAGUCCCUAUGUGAGUAACAGGGACCACGUUGCCAUUUGGUAGAGCUAUGGAAUAUUCAACCUCAGUACGAAUUGAUGAGUAGAAUGAACUGGAACAGAUCAUAUGAUAUGUUGCUCCUGUGUCGAGUAUCCAAGGAACAUUCAACAUGUUAGGAUAUUUUAGUUUGGUAACAGGCAUACAUAAGGACAUACCAGAUAGUUGGUGUACAUUUUCAUCAGUGGAGGUGGAGGUAAUGACACUUUGAGCAUUGUUGGCUGAGUGGUUCUGGCUUCGAGAGUUAGUGACAGGUUUGAGAAGAGCCAUGAGCUGUGAAAUUUAUUCUUGACUUAAGAACACCUGGAUUUGCUAUUUCCAAUCCCUUGUGCAGGAGAUAAAGAUGCCAUAGCUUGAUUUGCCGGUGCCUUUUCCUUUCCACUGAAUUUGUGGCCUGGAAGAUAGCCAUGAAGUUUGUAGCAUUUGUCCACUUGAUGGCCAGGAAUCUGACAGUGGGCACAAAUUGGUCUGUCUGGGUUUGCCUUGAAGCAUCUAUCAAGUGAGUGUCCUCCAGUUUUACAAAAAGUGCAGUAGUAUCUAUCUUUCUUCAGCGAAUAAGUGUUUUGCCUUCCCUUUUCUUUGAAAUUUCCCUUUGCAAGAAGAGUCAUAGAUUCAUGUAAGUAUCCUUCAGUUGAUAUCUCCCUUCUUUUCUCUUCCUGUUGUAUUAUCAAGUAAACUUCAUUUAAACUGGGAAAUGGUUU